CUGCCACAACGUGUGAUGUGCGACGGAGUCCAAGGUUGUGGCAGAGAGCUUGAGACGUCCAUCGCACCGUGCGUGAGUUUUCACGAACUACGUACGGCCCAAACACGGGAGAGAACGCUGAGCGUUACAAC
rfam:Corynebacterium sp. DNF00584 genomic scaffold Scaffold49, whole genome shotgun sequence.